rnacentral:rRNA from 1 species
UACGAGGGGGGCGAGCGUUGUUCGGAAUUAUUGGGCGUAAAGGGUGCGUAGGCGGUUCCGCAAGUCCUGUGUGAAAUCUUCGGGCUCAACUCGAAGUCUGCACGGGAAACUGCGGGGCUUGAGUGUGGGAGAGGUGAGUGGAAUUCCCGGUGUAGCGGUGAAAUGCGUAGAUAUCGGAAGGAACACCAGUGGCGAAAGCGGCUUCCUGGUCCAGCACCGACAUUCAGGCACGAAAGCGUGGGGAGCAAACAGG